rnacentral:rRNA from 1 species
GACAGAGGGUGCAAACGUUGUUCGGAAUUACUGGGCGUAAAGCGAGUGUAGGCGGUGUGGUAAGUCGGAUGUGAAAGCCCCGGGCUCAACCCGGGAAGUGCACUCGAUACUGCCACGCUAGAGUAUCGGAGAGGUUGGUGGAAUUCUCGGUGUAGAGGUGAAAUUCGUAGAUAUCGAGAGGAACACCGGUGGCGAAGGCGGCCAGCUGGACGAAUACUGACGCUGAGACUCGAAAGCGUGGGGAGCAAACAGG